ensembl:lncRNA
UCUUUCUGGUGCUUUUCAUCACAAGCCUAAAUCUUCAGAUACAGGCCUAGAGCAGGCAAACAGAAGUCUGUCCUAGUCUCACUUGUUCUGUGUUCCAUUAUAGAGCAGCCAUUCUCAAAGGAGGAACAUGUCAGGAAUGAACAGAAGAAGAGUUGAUCAUCUCUGAAUGCCAGAAACAUAAAUUAAUGUGCAUGUGAAUUCUGGUUCAGGAUUCAAGCCAGUUCUUUUGCUAGACUAAACGGCCUCAUCAUCCACAUGUGAAACUGCUGAGGAGAGCUGGAGGAAGUUCAUGCAUGAUGAGGAAAACCGAACAUCUCUUGCAACUGGGCCCUUUGUGAUUAAUGGAAAGAGUCCAGUAAUUCAAACAUAUGCUUUUGGUCUCCAGGGAAAAAGUGGUUGUGAUUAAAAAUCACCUUCUCUUCAUUAGUUUCCUCUGUUUUCCCAAGAUGGGGCAAAAAUCUGAAAGUAGUAUAAGUGGACUGAGCAGUUGAGUUUAAAACAAAACAGGAUGGCCACAAACUUGUGCGUUCCCUGUAUGCUGUGCUGUGCUGGGAGGCUUUGGUGCUCUGUGAAGGGUUGAUUUGUCUCCUCACUGGCUGCUCGCUCUUUGGCAGGAGCUGCUUGUACUGAGCUCAGUGUUACCCAUAGCUUCCGGAGCAAUGAGACCACAGAGGGAGAAGCCUGUAUGAUACACAAUGAACUGUGAAGCCUGUGCUAAGGAAGCCUUUCAGGUGUGAUAUUCCAGAUAAGGACGCUUGCCAACACCGCCUACAAGGCUGGUCCUGAAAGUGGAAGGACAACCUUCUGGCCCCUCUAACAAGCUAUGAUGGACAUGGUCUUUGCAGGAGACAUCUGCUGUUGUGGGAGAAAACAAAAUGACUGGUAACCUUGGAGGCCUUCAAGCCAGGUCAACUAAGGAGGAACAGCUCUAUUGUCACCAGUGGAUAGAAGAGCGCUGAGGCGUGUUUGUUGCAGGGUUUAGCUAAUGUGCUGUGUUUAAACCAUUUAAGUUGUACCAAAACUCCAACAGAGACAGAGUUCUCUCUUUUGUUUCAAAAGUUCAGUCACUUGAGCUGGUGGAUCUUGUGCUGGAUUGUACAUCUCAUUGUACAGCGUAGAUGUAUGGCAGGCAGCAUUUAUUCCAGCCCGGGGUUUUCUAGGCUUUGAACUAUCAGUCAGGAGUGGUGAUGUACUAUGGCCCUGAAAGGAGGGGAGCUAGCUUUUCUAAUGAGAAGGUGCUGAGAAUGUUGUAAAGGGUGAGAACCGGGGACCAUGGCGCUCGUGAGUCAUAGUGCAGACUUGGACAUCAUUAAGGAAUGUGAAGAAGACGGGGCUUAGAGCAGGUGGGAAGAACCCAGCAAGGAACCAACAGCAACUGAGUGCUGCUGACAGUAACUGGAUGAUGCCUAACCAAGUGUUUGCAUCCUAAGGCCCCACCUGUAUGGACCCAGCUGUUGAAAGAAAAGCCAAGUGUUAAAUCUUUCCUGUCCUGUCUUCUCUAAAUAUUUGGAGGGAAUUGUUCUUAAAGAGUUAAUUGCCUAGAUUUCAUCAUAAUGAAAUCUGGAGUUUCUGAAUUCAGAAGUUUUUCAGUCUCUUGUUGAGCCCGUAUAGAUUAAAGCACAAAUCUGGCUGGCCCGCUGUCUCACCUAAAAGUUCUGUAAGAAUGAAUAUGCUGUGCUUCUUUGUACCUUCUUUACAAGCUCUUUGUGCUCCUAAGUGUGUACUUGUGCAAAAGCAAGUAUUGAUACCAGGGGCUUAAAAAAAUGAAUCCUGUGAUUAAAAUAAAUAUCAGUGUAAAAAUUGUCAUUAGAAAGGACAAGUUCAUCCUUUGUCUGAGAUGUUUUUAAUUCAAGUGUCAUGGAAAAUCUAAAAGAAAUCUGCCAUUAGUAGUACAAGCAAAGUGCCUAUCAUGUCAUUUGAAUACCUUAUUAAGGACUAUUCUUACUGAAUGGAUUAAGUUAUGCCUGAGGUAAAAUAUUAUUCAAGAUAGAGAGCAUCCAAACUCAUGUAAUUAAGAGUUUCUAAAAUUUCACUAUUACAUUCUGUGCAUGUUUAUAAUUACCCCAUUGACACCCUUUAAAAGUCCCUAGUAAAAUGUGAUAUAAGCUUUUAAGGUUCCCCAAAUGAACAUCUAAGUGGAUGUGUAAUAUAGACCCUUUAGAAUAGAGGUUUUAGGAGAAGCUUUUGUCCAGCAUUGAUUUUACUGUUGGUGGACCAGAUUCUGAAGUAGACCUAUUUAUUUAUUUAUUUUUGCUGAGGCAGUUGCUGUUCAUUUUCAUGGAGCAGUACUUCGCUAACAUUUAAGUAACUGGCUCAUUUAAAAUACCUUGGUGUGGUACAGGUGUGUACAUUUAACCCAGAGGGAAAACGGACCAGGAAAAGAACAAUUACAGGAUCUCUCUUCUCCCCCUCCCUUGCCACUCCUGCUUGCCCAAGAGGAAAAAGAAUCGCAUUUCAGAUCUGAGGAAGUCACACUUGCCCUGUUUGUUCUCUGAUGCAGGCCUGUAAACAGAGACAUUCAGUCUGUAAACAAGUCAACCUUACAAAGUGACUGAAAGAUAACAGUCCUCCAUCUAACAGGGGGAGAGGAGGGUGGGAGCAGGGGGAGGAAUGAUAGAGAGGCUGCAAUAAAAACAGGAAGGUCUCUGUUGGUCCUCUUGAAGUUAGCGGUUAAAAACAUCAAAGCUUGGCGUGUGUUUUUUUCAACCAGACUGCUGUGUCACUUUAUAAUUCUACAUAGAGCAACCAUCCAGCAGCUAACAUACUGCAACUGUUAGUGUGAGCUGUGCUUUGAUUUAGAGGAACUGUAUCCAGCUUCGGGCAUGUUAAGCUAAAGAAUCUCGUGUAGGUUUACUUGGCUUGCUGUGUGCCAUUGAAGAAAUUUUAACUUUUCAGAGCUGUUAAUUACAAGCUGUCCAGGAUUUUUUUCCUAGCAUUUGAAAAAAAAAAAUAAAAAAAAAAAAUACGUACAACAGCAACAACAAACCCUCACAAAUUGCACUCCUCUCUUCAAAACCCAAAUCAUUUUCCCAGACUCUGAAGUCUUCUCAGAAUUUCCUACCUUGAAAUUUUAAGUGAAAACCAAGAUGGCAUUGGAAAGGAAGGAAAAACAACUAUUCUGUAUAUAUCAAAGCAAAAAUGUCCAUAUACUCAGCACAGUUCUAAGAAAUAUAAAUUAUUCAACAGCUGCUUCAGCAAAGAGGUUCUUAGAGUUUGAAGCCAGCAGAGUGCAUCAGUUCUCUUAGCUGGGGGAAGGUAUUUUGUUUUUUGAAAAUAAAAGAUUCAGAGAACUGUUUGGCAUUCUUGUCUGCCCUUGGAAAAGCAGCCAAAUAAAGAUAGGUGGGAAGAGAGGCAGAGAAGGGCGGGAGUCUUUAAAGUGGGUAGAGAAGCAGCAUUGUUCUAAGAGGGGAAUAGCGAACUUUCAUGUGCACAGUGUUAGAUGGCGUCUCUCCAGUGUUCUGUACAGGCAGACCAGUCUGAUUUAUUAUCAUUCAAAAAACUGACUUGCACUGAACAACGUUUGUUUGUAGGUUUAGCAUAAGAAGAAAAGACUUUCACUUUGCAAGCUGACACCAGUAACAACUCUGUAGAUGGAGAGAGCAGUUGGAAUUGAAGGGUUAGAUGGUUGGUGCUGAUGUGCGCCAACACCAGAUACGAUAGGUAAAAUGUCAGGACCACAUGAUGACUUAAAUUUCCUCCAGCUGUGAUUCGGGAUUUUAACCUCCAUUCUUAGCUACUGAUCAAAGCUAAUGAGCACUCUCAGCAGUGGUG